UACGUAGGGCGCAAGCGUUGUCCGGAAUUAUUGGGCGUAAAGAGCUCGUAGGCGGUUUGUCGCGUCUGCUGUGAAAACCUAAGGCUCAACCUUGGGCUUGCAGUGGGUACGGGCAGACUAGAGUGCGGUAGGGGGUGACUGGAAUUCCUGGUGUAGCGGUGGAAUGCGCAGAUAUCGGGAGGAACACCAGUGGCGAAGGCGGUUGCCUGGGGCUUUGCUGACGCUGAUGCGCGAAAGCGUGGGGAGCGAGUCCGG
rnacentral:rRNA from 1 species